UCAGGCCACCGCUGGGCUGUUGGCAGGCGGCUGCUUGCGGGAUCACUCCUGCCACGCUGGCCACAGCCCCCCUGGUGAAGGGAGUCUGGCGGACAGCACAGUGCAGGGAUUGUUGUGGCAACCCCUCGCCUUGCAGAACGUAGGGCUACACCCCGGAGGAGAGGGGGGCGCGCUAUUACGCAAUGAAACUGGAUUUUAAACCGGCCAUGCAGCGAAAAAGGGUUGAAAGCUUUGUGCGAAUUCAGCCUGUAUUCCCGAUAGUUUUGAUCAAUGGAAACGUCUUAUUGAUCACGAUGGUUGCCGUUUUUGUCAGCGUUACAGAAAUGAAAGUAUAAUGUGGACAUGUGAGGGUUCUUGCCAAACCGGUUUUGGAACAUUGUGCUCCUCACAAGGGUCCCGUUCUUCUCGUGACGACGCAGUGCCUCCUAAAAAGUUACUUUGCCGUCCCGAGAACAAGAGUCCCCGACACUGAGGGGACGCAAAAAGGAACAAGUGACCCAGAAAGAGGAAGAGGAGGGGGACAAGCCGGAGGAAGAGCGAGGCAGAUGGAUGCUGAGGGUGCAGCAGUUCAGCCGAUGACUCAAACACACGCGAGAGCGGCAAGGAGAGCCCGGAGCCCCGCCGACCCCCCUCCUUCCCCCGGACACAGCACCGCCUCCCCGAGCCACGGCUGCUCCUCCCGGGGGAGAGCGUGAGACGGGAAAGAGCGCUGUCGGGAACGCCAUCCUGGGGGGCCCUCGGGAACGCCACCCUGGGCAGAAGGAGCUGAACGACCACGGCCUGGACCUUCAAACCAAAGUCUCCGGGAGCUCAAGGCCGGGGGGGGAGGGGGGGGAGCUAGAAGGUAAAGAGGAGCGCCUCGGGGAACGGGAACAGGAGCGUCUCGGCUGGGGCGCGGAUUUAGAGACGCAUGGUCAGACGAUGAGUGACAAGCGGAAGCAACUCCAAGGCAUUGCCCGCAGUAUAUCUCAAGCCCAGGAGGGGUUACAUGGCCGAGAAAGGCAUCUGAAGGAGAUGAACGACGAGCAGGAAGGCCUUGAAUCAGGGCAAAUGGCGACCGGCUAUUGUGAAGGAGACGGGGAUGACUGCGUCAGCCAAAGAUCAUACAACACAACACGCAGCGGAAGACCCACUAGAUGCCAAUCCCAGUGGAUGGUCAGGAAGAGGAAGGAGGAGGAAGAGGAGGAGAAGAGGUUGAUGGGGAUCAGAUAGAGGGAGGAUCAAAGGGAAGAAACAGCUCUGUCAGCCCCCGAGAACAGAAGACAAAACAAAAACUGGGGGAGGGAGGAGCAGGGCCCGCCGGAGGGAAAGGAAGGGGGGGGGUGUCUGUGUAUGUGUGUUGACCCUCCUGGGGGGGGGGGGGAAGGUCAAGGAGGCCGAGUCCGAGCUCAGGGUGCUGGUGCUGGGGGAGUCUCCUUGCCCCUUGGCACUCGACAGGGACCACCGCGUCAAGAUCGGCAGGCGCCGCGUGACGCUACGGCAACGGGAGCGGGUUCUCGGGGGCGUUUUCCGGGGACCGGCCCCCCAAGGUGGUGCCGCCAGGGGCUUACAGAUCGCGGCCCACUGACGUGGGGGCGCACCGUCCUGCUGCUGGCGUGGGGCGGGGCUUAUGUCCUGCCCCAACGUGGAGGAAGAGGGGGCGGAGCAACACCUCCUUGGGUACGGGGACCAGGCGGGGAUGGUUGAACGGUGCGGGCCGUGGUAGCACGUGAUGUGCGACGGCCGAGGACACGGGUCUCUGGUGGAGUCACUGUUCGAGAAGAUGGAGGAAGUGGUGGCGUUGAAUGAGUGUGUGGGCAGGAUGUGAUUGGUGGAGGACUGUAGUUUAUAGAGGAGAGGUGGUGGGUGGAGGACUGUAGUUUAUAGAGGAGAGGUGGUGGGUGGAGGACUGUAGUUUAUAGAGGAGAG